CACGUAGGGUGCGAGCGUUGUCCGGAAUUAUUGGGCGUAAAGGAGCUCGUAGGCGGUGUGUCGCGUCGGUCCGUGAAAAAACCUGCAGGCUUAACUCGUGGGCGUGCAGGUCGAAUACAGGGCAUCACUGGAGUUCGGCAGGGGAGACUGGAAUUCCUGGUGUAGCGGUGAAAUGCGCAGAUAUCAGGAGAACACCGGUGGCGAAGGCGGGUCUCUGGGCCGAUACUGACGCUGAGGAGCGGAAAGCGUGGGGAGCGAACAGG
rnacentral:rRNA from 1 species